GAUGAACGCUGGCGGCGUGCCUAACACAUGCAAGUCGAGCGAUCUUCUUCGGAAGAGAGCGGCGGACGGGUGAGUAACGCGUGGGUAACCUGCCCUGUACACACGGAUAACAUACCGAAAGGUAUGCUAAUACGGGAUAACAUAAGAAAUUCGCAUGUUUUUCUUAUCAAAGCUCCGGCGGUACAGGAUGGACCCGCGUCUGAUUAGCUAGUUGGUGAGGUAACGGCUCACCAAGGCGACGAUCAGUAGCCGACCUGAGAGGGUGAUCGGCCACAUUGGAACUGAGACACGGUCCAAACUCCUACGGGAGGCAGCAGUGGGGAAUAUUGCACAAUGGGCGAAAGCCUGAUGCAGCAACGCCGCGUGAGCGAUGAAGGCCUUCGGGUCGUAAAGCUCUGUCCUCAAGGAAGAUAAUGACGGUACUUGAGGAGGAAGCCCCGGCUAACUACGUGCCAGCAGCCGCAGUAAAAC
rnacentral:rRNA from 1 species